CCCCGUCCACGCCAGCCCGCCCGGCGGGGCCUCCCUGCGGCAGAUUCAUGGUGUUUCUACUCAGUCUGCAUCUGGUACAACAUAGGUCUUUCUGAGACUGCACAUACACUUCUUGAGAACGUUGUUCCUGAGAGAAGCAGCUGAUGAGUAUUUUUGCUUCACCAGACUGUGAUCAGAGGAUACAAAGAGAAGGUGCCAUCAUGUGAAUGCGAAACAGCUAAAUGAGAAACAGGACACCUGGGAAGGCUGAGCUGAAACUGCUUGGGCACAGGAUGACAAACUGAUUUGCUGUUGGAGACAAGAUUCAGGAAACCUCGCUCCUCCAAAAGACUUUCCUGAGUGAGAGGAGAGGAACAGGAGGAAGCACACAAAAGAGCGAUGGGAAUUGAGGGCCAUGGUUACUUGAGAUAAAUGGCAGAUCCCUGGGAGUCUAGCCUUGUAGCUGUUUGCUUUAGCUUUGUCUCUCUCCGCAGCUGCUCUUUCUUUUUUGAGAGCUGCUGCUGGAUACUGCCACGGCGGCACUGGAGAUUUCAAGAGCAACGUGGGUGCAGAGUGUGAG